rnacentral:tRNA from 1 species
GCGACCAUAGUUUAAUGGCAGAAUAGUUGCUUCCCAAGCAACGGAUGUGGGUUCGAUUCCCGCUGGUCGCA